rnacentral:rRNA from 1 species
CCUACGGGUGGCUGCAGUCGAGAAUCUUCGGCAAUGGGCGCAAGCCUGACCGAGCGACGCCACGUGCGGGAUGACGGCCCUCGGGUUGUAAACCGCUGUCGAGGGGGAUGAAGUCACGGGAGGCAAUCCUCUCGUGUUGACAGAGCCCUGGAGGAAGCGCGGGCUAAGUACGUGCCAGCAGCCGCGGUAAGACGUACUGCGCGAACGUUAUUCGGAAUCACUGGGCUUAAAGGGUGCGCAGGCGGCUUGUCAAGCCCGUGGUGAAAGGUCCCGGCCCAACCGGGGACGUGCCACGGGGACUGACGAGCUUGGGCGAGCUAGGGGUCUGUGGAACUCCCGGUGGAGCGGUGAAAUGUGUUGAGAUCGGGAGGAACGCCGGUGGCGAAAGCGACAGACUGGGGCUUGGCCGACGCUCAGGCACGAAAGCCAGGGGAGCGAAC